rnacentral:rRNA from 1 species
UGGGGAAUAUUGCACAAUGGAGGGAACUCUGAUGCAGCGACGCCGCGUGAGUGAUGAAGGAAUUCGUUUCGUAAAACUCUGUUCUAUGGGAAGAAAAGGACUGUGCCAUAGGAGAAAGCUCCGGCUAAAUACGUGCCAGCAGCCGCGGUAAUACGUAUGGAGCGAGCGUUGUCCGGAAUUAUUGGGCGUAAAGGGUGCGCAGGCGGCUUUACAAGUUGGAUGUGAAAUAUUGUGGCUCAACCACAAACGUGCAUCCAAAACUGCAAAGCUUGAGUUAAGGAGAGGUAAGUGGAAUUCCUGGUGUAGCGGUGGAAUGCGUAGAUAUCAGGAGGAAUACCGGUGGCGAAGGCGACUUACUGGACUUAAACUGACGCUCAGGCACGAAAGCGUGGGGAGCAAACAGG